rnacentral:rRNA from 1 species
ACGUAUGGGGCAAGCGUUGUUCGGAAUUAUUGGGCGUAAAGGGCGUCUAGGCGGGGGAUUAAGUUAGAUGUGAAAGCCACGGGCUCAACCCGUGAACUGCAUCUAAGACUGGUUCACUUGAGUUCGGGAGAGGAGAGCGGAAGUCCAGGUGUAACGGUGAAAUGCGUAGAUAUCUGGAAGAACGCCAGUAGCGAAGGCGGCUCUCUGGCCUAGAACUGACGCGGAAGCGCGAGAGCGUGGGGAGCGAACAG